rnacentral:rRNA from 1 species
GGGCAUAAGAACUGCAAGUCGAACGGACUUAAUUCAUUCUUUUAGAUUGGAAGCGGUUAGUGGCGGACUGGUGAGCAAUGCGUGAGCAACCUGCCUAUUAGAGGGGAAUAACAGUGAGAAAUCAUUGCUAAUACCGCAUAUGCUUACACUAUUGCAUGAUAGAGUAAGGAAAGGAGCAAUCCGCUAAUAGAUGGGCUCGCGUCUGAUUAGCUAGUUGGUGGGGUAGAAGCCUACCAAGGCGACGAUCAGUAGCCGGACUGAGAGGUUGAACGGCCACAUUGGGACUGAGAUACGGCCCAGACUCCUACGGGAGGCAGCAGUCGGGAAUAUUGCGCAAUGGAGGGAACUCUGACGCAGUGACGCCGCGUAUAGGAAGAAGGUUUUCGGAUUGUAAACUAUUGUCGUUAGGGAAGAAAAAAGACAGUACCUAAGGAGGAAGCCCCGGCUAACUAUGUGCCAGCAGCCGCGGUAAUACAUAGGGGGCAAGCGUUAUCCGGAAUUAUUGGGUGUAAAGGGUGCGUAGACGGGUGUUUAAGUUGGUUGUGAAAUCCCUCGGCUCAACUGAGGAACUGCAACCAAAACUGGAUAUCUUGAGUGUCGGAGAGGAAAGUGGAAUUCCUAGUGUAGCGGUGAAAUGCGUAGAUAUUAGGAGGAACACCAGUGGCGAAGGCGACUUUCUGGACGAUAACUGACGUUGAGGCACGAAAGUGUGGGGAGCAAACAGGAUUAGAUACCCUGGUAGUCCACACUGUAAACGAUGGAUACUAGGUGUAGGGUGUAUUAAACAUUCUGUGCCGCCGCAAACGCAUUAAGUAUCCCACCUGGGGAGUACGACCGCAAGGUUGAAACU